rnacentral:rRNA from 1 species
UACGAGGGGGGCGAGCGUUGUUCGGAAUUAUUGGGCGUAAAGGGUGCGUAGGCGGUUUGGUAAGUCUGAUGUGAAAUCUAUGGGCUCAACUCAUAGUCUGCAUCGGAAACUGCCGGGCUUGAGUGUGGGAGAGGUGAGUGGAAUUCCUGGUGUAGCGGUGAAAUGCGUAGAUAUCAGGAGGAACACCUGUGGUGAAAGCGGCUCACUGGACCAUAACUGACGCUGAUGCACGAAAAGCUAGGGGAGCAAACAGG